rnacentral:rRNA from 1 species
UACGGAGGGUCCAAGCGUUAUCCGGAAUCAUUGGGUUUAAAGGGUCCGUAGGCGGUUUAGUAAGUCAGUGGUGAAAGCCCAUCGCUCAACGGUGGAACGGCCAUUGAUACUGCUAGACUUGAAUUAUUAGGAAGUAACUAGAAUAUGUAGUGUAGCGGUGAAAUGCUUAGAUAUUACAUGGAAUACCAAUUGCGAAGGCAGGUUACUACUAAUAUAUUGACGCUGAUGGACGAAAGCGUGGGUAGCGAACAGG